UUCUGAGUGCAGAGGUCAAAGCCACAAAUUUCAGCCUCAUGAUGAAAAAGAGAAGACUCACGACUCCUGAGGAGCAAAGUGACAGAAGAGAAGAGGACCGUGGCUUCUUGGUGGAGGAGCUUGUGAGCUAUUGCUCAGUCUGGCUUUGACAGGACUGGCCUCUGAGUUAAACGACCCCCCCUUGAGGUCUUCAACUGUGAUGACUUGUGAAGAUCACCCCCGCUGGGCUAGCUGACUGAUUACAUCCCCUCCUAGAGGAUCUGGGAGGGUCAUGAGACCUUCAAUCAUGAGACCUCACUGAGUAUCUAGCCACUCUCUGCAUCAUUUGCAAUGCUGCCUAACUGCUUGAGGCCUUGGGGAAAUCACCAGAUCAUAUAGGCAAAGGAACGAGGAGAGGGAGACUCUAUGUUUAUGGAGAACCUCAUUCCUGCAUGGUAGACUUUCCUGUAUGCCUCUGGAGAAGAAUUUACUCCUUAUUACACCGUGCUGAAAUUGCUUCAGAAUCUUGUCUGAAUCUGUGAACCAUUAUAACCAAAAAGACAGAGAGAAAAAUGCUGGACAUAGAUUUUUGGAGUCAUAGUUUCGAUUCUGGUUCCAGUAUCAACUGAUAGAUGGAGAGAUCUAUCCCAUUUCCAGAUGUGAGAAAGUAUCUUAAGAUGGCAUGUUCCCAGUUCAUUCUCAUGGAGAGACAGGCAGGACACACCCAGGAUAUUGCUGAUGAAGGAUCCAUACUCAUAGA